rnacentral:rRNA from 1 species
CCUACGGGGGGCUGCAGUAAGGAAUAUUGGUCAAUGGACGAAAGUCUGAACCAGCCAUGCCGCGUGGAGGAUGAAGGUCCUCUGGAUUGUAAACUUCUUUUAUAUGGGACGAAAAAAGGCCUUUCCAGGUCGUCUGACGGUACCAUAUGAAUAAGCACCGGCUAACUCCGUGCCAGCAGCCGCGGUAAUACGGAGGGUGCAAGCGUUAUCCGGAUUCACUGGGUUUGAAGGGUGGUUAGGUGGGCAGGUAUGAAAUCCCCGAGCUUAACUUGGGAACUGCCAUUGAUACUAUCAGUCUUGAAUACCGUGGAGGUCAGCGGAAUAUGUCAUGUAGCGGUGAAAUGCUUAGAUAUGACAUAGAACACCAAUUGCGAAGGCAGCUGGCUACACGAGUAUUGACACUGAGGCACGAAAGCGUGGGGAUCAAACAGGAUUAGAUACCCGAGUAGC